GACGUAGGUGGCGAACGUUAUCCGGAAUCAUUGGGCGUAAAGGGUGCGUAGAUGGCAUGAUAAGUUAUUAGUGGGAAAUCGAGGCUCAACCUCGUGGAAGCUAGUAAUACUGUUUUGCUUGAGUACAGAAGAGGUUAACGGAACUCCAUGUGGAGCGGUAAAAUGCGUAGAUAUAUGGAAGAACACCAAUAACGGCGAAGGCAGUUAACUAUUCUGUUACUGACAUUGAGGCAGGAAAGCGUGGGGAGCAAAACGG
rnacentral:rRNA from 1 species